ensembl:lncRNA
UAUUAAUGUUGCAUAUGCUUUGAAAACCAUGAAUGGUAGUCCAAGACAGCAGACAGGACAAAAAUAAGAUCACUUGAAAACGUAAAGAUCCUCCGAAAGUUGAUAUAGCAUCUACUCAGUAUAAAUUAAUAUUUAGAGUUGAAAUGUUGCAAAUGGAGAAAAAAAAAGGCAAUGAACAUGUUUUUGAAGGCUGUGAAUGAAGAAAGAUGCUCUUUGCAGCAAGACGGUGUAGUUACGACAUCGUCCAGCAGGGGCUAAAAUAGACCUCACUGACCAGCUAAACCUCAACCACUUAACAACAACAACAACGAGCUCAGCAGCUUCACUCAUUACUGUAGUUCACACAUAAUUUCCUGAUUUCACACAUAACGCCUCUCAGCAUCAUACAGACGGUUUGUCGACUGUAGAGUUUGAUUCUCACCACAGGAGACCAGACGCAAACACACUGUCAACAUUUGCUUCUGUGUUUUUGUUUGUUUGUUUGUUUUAUAGUCGAGUCAUUCGUGGAGCUGCUCUCUGUCACUCGUGUAUCUGUCAAACCCUAAGAAUGAGCUUCUCACCAACAGUCUCUGUGUUUCCACUGAUGGUGAGCAGUUCAGUGUCUGUGUAUUAUAGUGAGAGGAACAGAGGGAGGACAAGUGAUAAUGAAUUGUCCUUAUGCUAAAUAUAAACUAAUCCAGCUGAAUGUGAUCAGAGCUCCAAAGAAAACAAGGCCUGUCCAGAUCUCAACCACCACCCUCCAUCCAGGUUCAUUUGUGAUUAUCAUCACUGCGGAGGCUUUGCUUUUACUCCUGAUAGGACUUCCAUUGAUUAUAGUGGCUGUAUGGAAGAAAAAGAAGAAUAAAGGUCUGCUGUCGUCCUCCGUCGAAGAGUUUAAUCCAGUGAUUUAUGAACAGUCAGGGUUUCAUCUCUUGCUCAGCAUUUUGAUGAUGAUGAUGAAGAAGACUGUGACUGCAGUGAUUUACAGUAUUUUGAUGUUGAUGUCCAGCAGCUGAUCAAAGACGCUGGACGUCAGUGUAAUCCAGAGGACAGAGACACAGAAACAACUGUAGUUUACAGCUGUGCUUCCUGAACUUGUGUCAUAUGUGACUCUACAGACCCGUCAGUGAGACUCGAGCAUCUCUUCAUCAACUCCACAACACAAACCAGUUCAAUUCAACUAAUAUAAUAUAACAUCAUAUGUAAUAUGAUACUAAAUAUGUAUAGUUUGGCAUCAUGUUGCAUGAUUUUGCAGUGGGCAGAAUUCAGUAAGGAGACAGCUGUAUGGAAAAAGCUGUACCUGAGUCUGCUGGUCCUUGUCCGGAGGCUCCUGAAGCGCCUCCCAGAGGUCAGGCGGUUAAACAGUGUAUGGUCAGGGUGAGAGGAGUCCUUGAGAAUGCUGCGAGCUCAAGUUCAGCGGUCAGCUUGGAGGGAAUGACAGUGUUAAAUGCUGAGCUUAAGUCAACAAACAACAUCCGUACAUAUGUGUUGUUAUUGUCCAAGUGUGUGAGUACCGAGUGCAGCACUGUGCAUACUGCAUCCUCUGUGCUCCUAUUGCUAUGGUAGACAAAUUGGUGUGGGUCCAGUGUGGGUGGGAUUCACGAUGUAACUGAAAAUCAGUCAUAACUGAGUUCAUUUUGUUGGCUUUGCUCACAGUAAUUGUUGUUACAAUUUUUAAUUGUAUGUUUACAGCUAAAAUGCAUAAAUAUGGAUCAUUUGAAUGUACCAAUUUCUGAAGCUGAGUCUCAUAAGUUGCAAUCUGCAGCUUAAUGGACAAAUUAAACCAUGCUAUUCUGGAACUGCAUUUUGAUAUUGAUUUUAUUUUAUGUAUGUGUGGUGUAUGUAGCAUUUUCUUGUUGUAUGUUGAGCUCAAGGUUUGUGUGGUUAGUUUGAUCUGUUCAGUUCUGCUGGUAGAUGCUGUAACUGCACCGAUCUGAUGCCGAAGAGCAUCUUUCUACAUUUACUGACAUUCAAAGUAGCUUUAUAGUCAGAUAAAUCCUUGCAAGCAACUUAUAACGGAGGCUCCUAAAAGCAAAAAGUGUUGAGGACUUUUAGAGUAAAAUGCGUUGUUGAAUUUUAGCGGAUUAACACUAGCUAGUGUAAACAGCAUUCUCUGCCCGGUGUAAAUACACAGAGUUACCUUUUUGAGUGUUAUUAGUCACAUCCGGGACAUUUGCUCGUGUACGCGCCUGACCCAUCUGAAAUAUUUUUCACAGACGCCAUUUUAUUUGCUUGAGAUGCGGAGCAUUUAAGGGCGGAAAACGGUGAAAUAAAGUGUUUAAUCUUACUCA